rnacentral:rRNA from 1 species
UUUAUUGGACAAUGGUCGAAAGCCUGAUCCAGCCAUGCCCUGUGUGUCAAGCAGGACUUCGGAUUGUAAAGUACUUUAAGUUGGGAGGAAGGGCAGUAAGUUAAUACCUUGCUGUCUUGACGCUACCGACAGAAUAUGCACCGGCUCACUUUUUGCCAGCAGCCUCGGUAAUACGAAGGGUGCAAGCGUUAAUCGGAAUUACUGGGCGUAAAGGGCGAGUAGGGGGUUCGUUAAGUUGGAAGUGAAAGCCCCGGGCUUAACCUGGGAAUUGCUUUCAAAACUGACGAGCAAGAGUACGGUAGAGGGUAGUGGAAUUUCCUGUGUAGCGGUGAAAUGCGUAGGUAUAGGAAGGAACAUCAGUGGCGAAGGCGACUACCUGGACUGAUACUGACACUGAGGUGCGAAAGCGUGGGGAGCAAACAGG